CAUCAUUAUCAAAAAGGUAAAAUAACCGGAAGGCUUAAGAGGAGGGGUGAGAAAAAGUCGUAUAAAAGGAGAGAGAAAAGUCGAUAGGGAUCAGUCGAGCGAGAACCUCCGACACGGUAAGAGCUGCAUUUCACUAUUUGCCAUUCAGCUGCAUUCUUCAUCGUAUUAUCAGUUCUCAAUCAUGGUCGUAUGUAAGGGCAAAGAAAAGGCGAAAGAAAUCAGAGUGAAUAUCUCCGAUAUACAAGAGCUAAAGUGCACCAUGUGUCACCAACUGCAUUCUUCGUCGCGCUACCAGUUUCAAUCAUGGGUGAAUAUUCUGUUUUUUUAAACUGUGCUAUCGUUCAUAGCUGGGUCGACCACUGGUGUACCGAUGACUCUUGGGUGUGGCGGAUACCAAAGCACUACACUGCCGCAUUACUACACAACAUACAACACAACCAGUUGCUACACCAAUGCCUUAAAUACUACAUCACCAAGGAACCAGAGUGUUACACAACUACAAAUGCCGCGCCAGCUUAUUACACCGAGGCUCCCUAACACAACACCACCAAGGCAUCGGAGUACUACACCACUACAUAUCAUGGUCGUAUGAAAGGAGAGAAAAGGUGAAAGAAUUCAGCAGCCGAGUGAGCAUCUCCGUUACGGUAUAGGAACUGCCGUGCACUAUUUGUCAACAAGUUCAUUCUUCGUCGCAUUCCAAGUUUUAAAUAAAGUAAACUAUGGCGUCGUGUUGCUGUUGGGUGUUGUAUCGUUGAUGGUUGGUUCGGCCAUGGUGUACCGAUAUCUCCAAAGUAUGGGGUGUACCAACAACAACAUACGCAAAAACCGGUUACUACACUGAGACCUGCAAGUGCCACACCACCGAGGAUAACUUGUUACCCCACCGAAGCGCCCAAGUUCUGCACUACAACCUACGUCGCCCCAGCUUACACCACGAAGGCAGCGGAGUACUACACCACGAAGGCAGCGGAGUACUACACCACGAAGGCAGCGGAGUACUACACCACGAAGGCAGCGGAGUACUACACCACGAAGGCAGCGGAGUACUACACCACGAAGGCAGCGGAGUACUACACCACGAAGGCAGCGGAGUACUACACCACGAAGGCAGCGGAGUACUACACCACGAAGGCAGCGGAGUACUACACCACGAAGGCAGCGGAGUACUACACCACGAAGGCAGCGGAGUACUUACUACACCACGAAGGCAGCGGAGUACUUACUACACCACGAAGGCAGCGGAUUACUACACCACGAAGGCAGCGGAGUACUACACCACGAAGGCAGCGGAGUACUACACCACGAAGGCAGCGGAGUACUACACCACGAAGGCAGCGGAGUACUACACCACGAAGGCAGCGGAGUACUACACCACGAAGUCACCGUCACGAUACACCAUGGCUCCAGUUUACUUCACUACAACCCACGCUGCUCCAGAGUACUGCACUGAUGUUCCAAAGUACUACACCACCAAAGUCAUCCGAGUAUUACAUCACUACUUUCGUUAGUACCAAAUCCUACACCGAAGCUCCCAAAGCACUUCUUUGCCCCGAGUUACUACACCACUAACGCAGCCGAAUAACACCCCAAACUACGAUUCCGCAAUUUUCUGCAAGGAAAUUCCUUAUUAUUAGAGCCGAAAUUUCUACUCGGGGUUAUUUAUAUGUAUCGGUUAUUUUCAUGGUAAUUGGUCGCUGGGAAUCAAUUGUUGAUCUUAAAUGAGAAAAUAAAAGUUUUAAUACGGGUAA
rnacentral:misc_RNA from 1 species